UUGCGAUGAAGAAAUACGCGCUGACUGUGAUCCGGGUCGAUCACAACCAUCAGAUAUCUCUGAUGAUAUAACCAGCGCAUCGGAGCUU